rnacentral:lncRNA from 1 species
CUAUGGAGUUGGACAGGACUGGUCGCCGGCAAGCUCCGGGUGGUGGCGUUGCUGGGCGGGAGCGCCUGCUCUGCUGGUGGGAGCGGCUGCUCGACGGAGGGAGGUGCUUCUGGGCUCCUGUACCGGCGGCAGGGCAGCGGAGGCUUUGGCCGGCGGCGGCUAGGAACCCUACUGUCGCGCUUGGGGAAUCUGGUCGUUCGCUCCCGGACGAGGGCGAGGGCAGAGGAGCGCGAGGGUGGGGGAGGGCGUGCGCGGCGUCUG